UACGUAGGGGGCAAGCGUUAUCCGGAAUUACUGGGUGUAAAGGGUGCGUAGGCGGCACGCCAAGUCAGUUGUGAAACCCGUAGGCUCAACCUACGGCUUGCAAUUGAAACUGGCGAGCUAGAGUACAGGAGAGGAAAGCGGAAUUCCUAGUGUAGCGGUGAAAUGCGUAGAUAUUAGGAAGAACACCGGUGGCGAAGGCGGCUUUCUGGACUGAAACUGACACUGAGGCUCGAAAGCGUGGGGAGCAAACAGG
rnacentral:rRNA from 1 species